UACGAAGGGGGCUAGCGUUGUUCGGAAUUACUGGGCGUAAAGCGCACGUAGGCGGGUUUGUAAGUAGGGGGUGAAAUCCCAGGGCUCAACCCUGGAACUGCCUUCUAAACUGCAAGCCUGGAGGUCAGGAGAGGCGAGUGGAAUUCCGAGUGUAGAGGUGAAAUUCGUAGAUAUUCGGAGGAACACCAGUGGCGAAGGCGACUCGCUGGACUGAUACUGACGCUGAGGUGCGAAAGCGUGGGGAGCAAACAGG
rnacentral:rRNA from 1 species